ensembl:lncRNA
AUCUGGAGGAACUCUGGAAUUAAUUUAAGGAAAGGAGAAGGGGUGGGGGAACCUAGAAGGAAAUUAGUAGCCAAAUAAUCAGACUUCCUGACUUUAUUAUUACCUUUGUGGCCAAGAGCCAAGAAAGAACAGACAAAACAGUUCUGGUUUCCUGGCCCUGAUGCUGCAUUUCAGAGCUGAAUCAAGGCAGAGGGCUGAGCGAAGAAGGCAGGGCCAUGUACUCACAGUGGAGCCCUGGGCGAGUAUCUGACUUCCUCCACAAAAUAGUUGGAAGAAUAGUACUUACUUCAUGGCAAUACGAGCACUGAGUUAAGUAAAAAUAUUCUAUGGGUUUGGC